GGAGAGGUGGCAGAGUGGUCGAUUGCGGCAGACUCGAAAUCUGUUGUACCGCUUGCGGUACCGGGGGUUCGAAUCCCUCUCUCUCCGCCA
rnacentral:tRNA from 1 species